UACGUAGGGUGCAAGCGUUGUCCGGAAUUAUUGGGCGUAAAGAGCUCGUAGGCGGUCUGUUGCGUCGGCUGUGAAAACCCGGGGCUCAACCCCGGGCCUGCAGCCGAUACGGGCAGACUAGAGUUCGGCAGGGGAGACUGGAAUUCCUGGUGUAGCGGUGAAAUGCGCAGAUAUCAGGAGGAACACCGGUGGCGAAGGCGGGAUCCUGGGCCAGUACUGACGCUGAGGCGCGAAAGCGUGGGGAGCAAACAGG
rnacentral:rRNA from 1 species